AAUGGGCGCAAGCCUGAACCGGCCAUGCCGCGUGCAGGAAGACUGCCUAUGGGUUGUAAACUGCUUUUAUACAGGAAGAACACUCCCUCGUGAGGGGGCUUGACGGUACUGUAAGAAUAAGGAUCGGCUAACUCCGUGCCAGCAGCCGCGGUAAUACGGAGGAUCCAAGCGUUAUCCGGAAUCAUUGGGUUUAAAGGGUCCGUAGGUGGAUUAGUAAGUCAGAGGUGAAAUCCUGCAGCUCAACUGUAGAACUGCCUUUGAUACUGCUAGUCUUGAGUCAUUAUGAAGUGGUUAGAAUGUGUAGUGUAGCGGUGAAAUGCAUAGAUACUACACAGAAUACCGAUUGCGAAGGCAGAUCACUAAUAAUGUACUGACACUGAUGGACGAAAGCGUGGGGAGCGAACAGGAUU
rnacentral:rRNA from 1 species